UUUCCAUUCAGUUUGAUUACAGAGAAACUAAUCGAGUGGCACACCGCCUCGUUUGGCUCUCACUUUACCAGCAACAUCAUCAUGGCUUCAGGAUCCUCCUGAUGCUGUGUGUGAUGUUUUUGUUUGAAGGGAACAGUGAAGGUGCGGUUUUGGGGAGUCAAAUCGCACCAUGUAUUGAUUUCUUCUCCAGAUCUAAGGAAUCUCUCCUGCCAUUCCAUUAUCACAAAGUAUUAUCCUUCUUCACAUUCAGUUAAAUAUAUUAAGCCAAAAAAAAACAAAAAAACAGAGAGAAAUCAAUAUAUGAUGUGUGGGUGUUGAAGAAAGAGAUUGCUCUGCUCUUGCAUGUGGUGGAUGAGUUGCAGAACACCAUAGAGGAAGAGCAGAAGAGUUUGAAUGAGGAGAAAGAGCACAAACACGGAAUGGAGGAUGCAAGUGGGGGCUCGGAGCCCAUGCAUGUUGAUUAGAGUAUGCAUCUCUUGGUUUUGCAAUUGUAAGAUUGUGUUUUCAUGAAUGGGUUUCUAUCCAUAUCUCUCUUGAUUUACAGAAACAGGAAUGUAGAGUGGUGCUCUACAGUUGCAAUAUGUCAGCGAUAUUUUGAAUUUCUUAAUUUUGUGCAACUUGUAGAUUUUCUUGCAUACUGCUUCACCAAGUUCACAUGAUAGGUAGAACUUUGCCAGAACUUCUUUCUGCAUCAAUUUCAGUGUAGUUAAUUGUAUAAACCUAAUGCCUGUGUACAUUACAUUUAAGUGUAAUAUUACAGUUUGCAUCCAGAUAAAUAUUGAGAAGUCGGAAUUAUGCAUA